GAUGUACGCUAGCGGCAGGCUUAAUGCAUGCAAGUCGAGGGGUAGCAAGAUUGUAGCAAUACAAUUGUUGACGACCGGCAAACGGGUGCGGAACACGUACGCAACCUUCCUACAAGUGGGGAAUAGCCCAGAGAAAUUUGGAUUAAUACCCCGUAACAUAGCGAUGUGGCAUCACAUUGCUAUUAUAGCUUCGGCGCUUGUUGAUGGGUGUGCGGCUGAUUAGAUAGUUGGCGGGGUAACGGCCCACCAAGUCUACGAUCAGUAGCUGAUGUGAGAGCAUGAUCAGCCACACGGGCACUGAGACACGGGCCCGACUCCUACGGGAGGCAGCAGUAAGGAAUAUUGGACAAUGGACGCAAGUCUGAUCCAGCCAUGCCGCGUGAAGGAUUAAGGUCCUCUGGAUUGUAAACUUCUUUUAUAAGGGACGAAAAAAGGUCUUUCUAGAUCGUCUGACGGUACCUUAUGAAUAAGCACCGGCUAACUCCGUGCCAGCCGCCGCCGCUGUAA
rnacentral:rRNA from 1 species